UAAAUCUUACCAUGAAGAUUAAAAUGAUCAGGUUUUGCUGAUGCUGUUUUAUUAAAUGAUAUUUAAUCUACUCGUUGUUCUAUGAAUUCAUCUCUCAGCAAACCACUCAUCACUAUAAACUUGAAUCAACGCCUCCCCUUGUCAAAUACAGUUUUACUCUGACCACCUGACUACCCUAAUUGGUUUAAAGAAGCGGCUUUUGUCCAACAUGUUUACUUUCACUGGUCGACUAAUUGGAUGUGACUGUCUCAGACUGUGGGCAGCCAUCUGAGGAUUCUACUCUGAGACAGAACAACUUUUCAAAUCCUUAAUUUGUUAUGUUUGAUCUUGCCAGGACUCCACAAAGGUCCAGAUCUGCAAUGACCUUUAGUUUAGAACUGUAACUGUCUGUUAUUAUUAUUAUUAUUAUUAUUAUUAUUAUUAUUACAGACACGUUUGAGGAUGAUGCUGACAUGUGCAGACAGAGGGGACUCUAUAUCUCUAUGUCCAAACUAAUAUGUUGGUUAGAUCUGAUGACAGACCCUGGCCGCAGCUCUGUCAAGUACACAUCUAAGAUCUGGGACCACUGGCAUGAGUGCCUUUUUUAGCCCUUCUUUCCUUGUAUAUUUCUAUGUAAUGUAUUGUUUGUAUGUAUGUUUUGUUGUAUCAUGUGGGCCUUGAGCCUGUUAUAAAGUUUAUAUAUUUAUAUAUUCCCUUAUGCACCUUGACGUAGGUUUCCACCUGCAAAUAAACUGUACCCAGGGUAUUAUUGACCUGUAUACUGCUCACUAUUUCCAACUGCCAGUUGUUAAUCAGUGUUAAUAAGUUAAUAUGUGUUUUAUAGCAACAUCAGUUUUGGCAGUUUUUCCCUCAAAUACCCAACUCUGCCCUUGCACACCCAGAAGCUAAUGUUAUUUUGACAUUCUUGACAAACGGUGUACUCCGAGGCAAUUGGUCACUAGUAGAAGGAGACUAUAGUUAUUGAAAUACUUUUUUUCUUAAGAUAAUUUGGCCUCUGAUGGAUGUACUCUAAUAUUUCUUUCUCUUUUCCCUUUCAGUUGGGGGGUGACCUUGCAGUUGUUCAGGAUAUGGAGGACCAGAAAUUCUUGACCAACUUCACUCAUCAAUUUAAACAGAAUCAUUUUUCCGGCAAGGUUUUCCAUGCUGCUUGGAUCGGAUUGACAGACGAGAAAACUCAGUUUUGUGUGGGUCAACAACAAAACACUCCAAUCAAGUGUCAGUUUCUGGUCAAAAGGGGAGCCAAACAACUUUAUUGUCGUUUGGGACAAAGAAGAAAAUGGACAAGACUGUGUUGGCAUUGUACCACCCGAUGACUUUGGAGGGGAGAGGUGGUUGUUCAACUGGGAUGACAUAACUUGUGUCGGCGGCCGACACUAUGUCUGUGAAAGUAAGGCUGUUGUCUCAUGAUCCAGUCCCAAUAGAUAUUGGGACUGGAUCAAAACUGGUCCAGUCCCAAUAUCUGGACCAGUUUUGGGACUGGUCCAGAUAUUGGACCAGUAUCUGGACCAAUAUCCAGGUCGAGUUGACAGUCAAUGGGACGACAUCAUUUUUUGAGUCGAUGUAGAAAUAGAUUAUAGGUUUGUCUAAUAAUAAAUAUAGACUUAAUAUGUGGCCUCAGCUUUUUCGGGUUUUUAUUGCUUUUGUGAAUUGAUAGUCAUCAACUCUAUGAGGGUUUAAUUGAGGGAACAUAGGGCUUACACACACAUAAUGGUGAAUGUACAUAAACACACUCCCUCUAUAGUACAGGAACAUAUGGUAGAUGCAUAGAUGUAGUUGAACUUGUCUGAGCUUAAAGUUUGGUGUUUUUUGGUGUUGUCUCAUAAGGAGUUUUAGUUUACAUUGCAUUUACAUUUUCUAGGUCAAGCAACUUACAAAAUCCACAUUUUGGUUUAGCAGUGGAACUGUACAUGAGAUGUGGAGUAUAAUCUUUGACCCAAUGAAGACACAUAAGACCCAUUUGCCUGCUCUCAGACUUUGGGGGGUGACCUUGCAGUUGUUCAGGAUAUGGAGGACCAGAAAUUCUUGACCAACUUCACUCAUCAAUUUAAACAGAAUCAUUUUUCCGGCAAGGUUUUCCAUGCUGCUUGGAUCGGAUUGACAGACGAGAAAACUCAGUUUUGUGUGGGUCAACAACAAAACACUCCAAUCAAGUGUCAGUUUCUGGUCAAAAGGGGAGCCAAACAACUUUAUUGCCGUUUGGGACAAAGAAGAAAAUGGACAAGACUGUGUUGGCAUUCUACCACCCGAUGACUUUGGAGGGGAGAGGUGGUUGUUCAACUGGGAUGACAUAACUUGUGUCGGCGGCCGACACUAUGUCUGUGAAAGUAAGGCUGUUGUCUCAUGAUCCAGUCCCAAUAGAUAUUGGGACUGGAUCAAAACUGGUCCAGUCCCAAUAUCUGGACCAGUUUUGGGACUGGUCCAGAUAUUGGACCAGUAUCUGGACCAAUAUCCAGGUCGAGUUGACAGUCAAUGGGACGACAUCAUUUUUUGAGUCGAUGUAGAAAUAGAUUAUAGGUUUGUCUAAUAAUAAAUAUAGACUUAAUAUGUGGCCUCAGCUUUUUCGGGUUUUUAUUGCUUUUGUGAAUUGAUAGUCAUCAACUCUAUGAGGGUUUAAUUGAGGGAACAUAGGGCUUACACACACAUAAUGGUGAAUGUACAUAAACACACUCCCUCUAUAGUACAGGAACAUAUGGUAGAUGCAUAGAUGUAGUUGAACUUGUCUGAGCUUAAAGUUUGGUGUUUUUUGGUGUUGUCUCAUAAGGAGUUUUAGUUUACAUUGCAUUUACAUUUUCUAGGUCAAGCAACUUACAAAAUCCACAUUUUGGUUUAGCAGUGGAACUGUACAUGAGAUGUGGAGUAUAAUCUUUGACCCAAUGAAGACACAUAAGACCCAUUUGCCUGCUCUCAGACUUUGGGGGGUGACCUUGCAGUUGUUCAGGAUAUGGAGGACCAGAAAUUCUUGACCAACUUCACUCAUCAAUUUAAACAGAAUCAUUUUUCCGGCAAGGUUUUCCAUGCUGCUUGGAUCGGAUUGACAGACGAGAAAACUCAGUUUUGUGUGGGUCAACAACAAAACACUCCAAUCAAGUGUCAGUUUCUGGUCAAAAGGGGAGCCAAACAACUUUAUUGCCGUUUGGGACAAAGAAGAAAAUGGACAAGACUGUGUUGGCAUUCUACCACCCGAUGACUUUGGAGGGGAGAGGUGGUUGUUCAACUGGGAUGACAUAACUUGUGUCGGCGGCCGACACUAUGUCUGUGAAAGUAAGGCUGUUGUCUCAUGAUCCAGUCCCAAUAGAUAUUGGGACUGGAUCAAAACUGGUCCAGUCCCAAUAUCUGGACCAGUUUUGGGACUGGUCCAGAUAUUGGACCAGUAUCUGGACCAAUAUCCAGGUCGAGUUGACAGUCAAUGGGACGACAUCAUUUUUUGAGUCGAUGUAGAAAUAGAUUAUAGGUUUGUCUAAUAAUAAAUAUAGACUUAAUAUGUGGCCUCAGCUUUUUCGGGUUUUUAUUGCUUUUGUGAAUUGAUAGUCAUCAACUCUAUGAGGGUUUAAUUGAGGGAACAUAGGGCUUACACACACAUAAUGGUGAAUGUACAUAAACACACUCCCUCUAUAGUACAGGAACAUAUGGUAGAUGCAUAGAUGUAGUUGAACUUGUCUGAGCUUAAAGUUUGGUGUUUUUUGGUGUUGUCUCAUAAGGAGUUUUAGUUUACAUUGCAUUUACAUUUUCUAGGUCAAGCAACUUACAAAAUCCACAUUUUGGUUUAGCAGUGGAACUGUACAUGAGAUGUGGAGUAUAAUCUUUGACCCAAUGAAGACACAUUGAAUCCGUAUUUCAUCUACUUGAUGAUAAAUAGUCAUUUGAAUAGUGAUUUUCGAUUGGAGGUUAGGUUUCAUUGUCACUGACAUCCUUUACCAAGAUGGUUCACAAAGCCUUUUUUGUCAUAAUAGAAAAUAGGAUUGCUCUAUUUUUGAAAAGCAAAACCUUAUGUUACUUUGUUCACAGUUAGUAUUUCAGAAACAAAAGUUUGUUAAACUUUGAAAACUUCAUGCAUCAUAUAUUCAUCGACCUUCUUCUGUAAAUAACUCCAAAUUAGAUUGUCUGUUCUGCUGUUCCUUUGUUUUCUUCUCUACCUUCUGUUGAUUAAAUACAGGCAAUGUAACAAGGAAAUGUUCAUUUGCUAUGCACCCUUUUA